GAUCUGGUUCAGGAUGAACGCUAGCUACAGGCUUAACACAUGCAAGUCGAGGGGCAGCAUGGUCUUAGCUUGCUAAGACUGAUGGCGACCGGCGCACGGGUGAGUAACGCGUAUCCAACCUUCCCCUUAGUAGGGCAUAGCCCGGCGAAAGUCGGAUUAAUACCCUAUGUUUUCCUAUGAUGACAUCUGAAUAGGAACAAAGAUUUAUCGCUAAGGGAUGGGGAUGCGUCUGAUUAGGUAGUCGGCGGGGUAACGGCCCACCGAGCCAUCGAUCAGUAGGGGUUCUGAGAGGAAGGUCCCCCACAUUGGUACUGAGACACGGACCAAACUCCUACGGGAGGCAGCAGUGAGGAAUAUUGGUCAAUGGGCGCGAGCCUGAACCAGCCAAAGUAGCGUGCAGGAUGACGGCCCUACGGGUUGUAAACUGCUUUUGUACGGGAAUAAAGUGUGGGACGUGUCCCAUUUUGUAUGUACCGUAAGAAUAAGGACCGGCUAAUUCCGUGCCAGCCGCCGC
rnacentral:rRNA from 1 species